CCCAGGCAUGGCUAGCGAUUCUCUCUACCUGAGCUGGGAGUAACAGCUCUGCUGCAGGGAUUAAUACUGUAUUUGCCUUUUAAAAGAAGUAGUGGCAGCAGCCCGUGUAAUUAGGUUGCCUAAUGCUUCCUGUUGCAAAACAAACUCUUGCAGUCUUUAUUUGAAGGGCUCUCUCCCUGCCUCGUUUGCAGCUGGACUUUUACAUUUGUUAUGGGGUUAUGUCUGGGGUCAAAGAGGUGUCUUUGUGCCAAUAGAAAUGCCUUCAUUUAACUGAAGAUUACUAUUACCCACAUGUGGUUUAGGUUUGUUUUUGCACUAUGACCCUGCCCUUCAACACGCUCUUUCAUUGCACACAUGCUGCCCCAUCUACAUUUGAUACCCAGCUCAAGUUCUCGAUGGGACACAAAGCAAAUGGUUCUUCCCCCUGAUGCUUUUCAUGACUGAAGGGAGUGUGUAUUGCACUGGGAACCAAAUACCUUGAGUUCUAGACUCCCUUCUUCCACAGACUCGUGUUAAUAAUGCUGUACCUUUCACCACUCACAGGGUCUCAUACUGGACGGAGAGAUUGCACAAACUUGAAAUAAAACCUAAUGCUUUUAAUAUGGCAGCUCCAAAUCCCAUUCACUCAGCCACCCUGCCUCAGAAAGAAAAAACACCUGCCAUAUCUUUGUCCUUGAUUGUGUCAUCUGUAAAAUUAGGUGACUCGUGAGUCGUGAAUAAGUAAUCCACCGUUGUCUCAGUGUGUUAUGCUGGAUCCUCCUCUAACGUCUGGCUCACAUAGGGGCAUGAACAGAUGCACCGCAGUCACCCCUGAGUCUGAAGAACGAGGUAUCUUCCUUCCUCCAGCAGGCAAAUCCAUACCUAUCUCGGUGCUGAAGCAGAAUGGACUCCUGCAGGCGCUGGCAGAGGGAGCCAAUGGGCACACAGAAACUGAGCCUAGUGCAGAGGUGCUGCGAGCACAGGAAGAAUGGGAAGCUGUGGAAAAUGUCCAGUCAGGGAUCGUGGGGACGUCUGCCAGUCACAUGCCCCUGAUUGCCUUCAAUGAAGCACUGCAAUAUUUCCAGACGGCUGACCUGUCAGAGUGCAGGAAAAAGAUCCAGCCGACGGUGCGAAGGCGAGGGCUGUCCGCCAUUACUCACUUCUUCUUUGGCCCCCCCCGGCUCCAGCAGCAGCUGCAAGGUGAACGGGAUCUGGCCUUGGCAAUAGCCCAGGGUGGCUUGGAUAACAAUGAGAGAGUGCACAUGCGGAUCCUGCAGACCAUCUACAAGAAACUUACAGGCUCCAGGUUCGAUUGUCCCCGCUAUGGUGCCCACUGGGAAGAGCUAGGCUUUCAAGGUUUGGAUCCUGGGACAGACCUACGUGGGACUGGAUUGCUCGGGUUAAUGCAAAUCCUGUAUUUUGUAAUGGACUCCCGGACGUUACCCUUAGCUCGAGACAUUUUCAAGUUAUCCCAGCAUGAAUUGCAGAAUUUCCCUUUCUGUGUGAUGUCUGUGAAUCUCACUCGCAUCGUGAUCCAGGCCCUGAGGGAAGAACGUCUUUCGAGAGAGUGUAACCGCAGACAGCAGGUCAUUGCGGUGCUGAACGAUUUGUACGUGGCCACGUUUCUCCGCCUCUUCGUCGUCUGGAGGACACAACAGAAAACAAUUUCUGACUCGGGCUUCGUUCUGAAAGAACUGGAGGCAUUUGCCAAAAGGAAACCGAAACAGCUUCUGAGAGAUUUGGGGAUGUACAUGAGCGGGAGAGCUGUGCCAGUAACAGAUGGUGGUUUGCUGCACCCUUCUCCCUUCUCUGGCGUACACGGUCCCGACCUCCACUCGGCCCUCGGCGACAGCAGCAAAGAGAUAAGCUUCACGGGCGUGUGCGACGCGCAGGUUGAGAUGGAAGGAGAGGCCCGGCUGAUCUGAAACCGAGGCAGCACCACCGGCUGGGCAGUCUUAAACCGCACUGAUACACACCCCUGUUGGCAGGGCUUAUUAGUGGCUGGUAGUCCCCUGCCAGCCUGUUCACAGCCGCUUGUGAAAGGUUGCGAGGUCUGAGGGGUGCUUCUUGCAGAUCAGACCAGCUCGCCCAGGCGUCGUGGGGAAUGCCAGCGGAAGUUGGCGGAGUUUGCAGGGGUCGAGGUCUCCACCUGCUUCGUUGCAGAUGCUGUAACGGGUGGUAGCAAACCGUCCCCGUCCGGAGUGGGCUGCUGCCCUGAAUCCGCUGAAAUGUGGAUUGAGCAGGGGGCCCUGGUACAUGCUGAAAACGAAAAGCUGCUUCAGUUCUCAGGGGUUCGAGUUCCCUAGAGGCACUAAGAAUCCCGAGCCGAGCGCUGCGGGCGAAGAAGCAAACUGCAGGCCCCAAUUCCCUUCCGCUAGGACUCCCCGCGGGGCAGUGAGCAGGCGUGUAGUAGAUGCAGAGCUAGCGAGGGGGUGGUUUUGUUCCAGUCAUCAGGCUCUCUGGGCCCAGAGUCUCCGAUGAGCGCAUGCCCCAAGAACGUAGCUCAUGGUUUGUAGGGGAGCAUCAACCUUACGCGCCGCGCCGACUGUGCUGGAAUCAGGGUCUGCCUGCCUGGCACGUCUGUGCUCCCGUUGCUGUACUGUCUGAGCACCUCACCACAUUUAACAGACUUGGGCUCCGGGCCCUGCCGGGCCGGGCAGUGCUGUUAACCAUAUCUUAUGAUGGGGCCUGAGACGCAGAGAGGCUUGUGACAUGGCCAGGGUCACACAGGAAGUCUGUGGCAGAGCAGAAGCUGGAACCCAGGCUCCCUAGGGUGUUGUCCCAAUCACUACACAGUAAGGUCUGGCAGCACGUGCCGGUGAGACCUUCACACCGUGAUGCGCUGUCUAAUGUAGCGGCUGAGAAGUUCAAACCUCCGUGGCUUGGGCUUUCCUACUCCGGUUAAUGGCAUUCUCACCACCCCUGCUUCUAAUUCUCUCUCUCCUCCCAGUAACGAGGGACCUGCCUCCCUGAGACUCUGAGCAGGAAGGAUCUGGAGUAGGGCACACGAGAGCAUGAGGGAGACAGGCCAGCAUGGCCACUGGCUAGAAAUGUGAGCACUUCUGACUCCAGAGCAAAGUGCAGGUGAGAGGCGGCUCUUCAGGCACAUGGCAUCCACCUGGAGUGCUGCCAGUGGGAAUUGUGGCCCACCAGGAUACGUCUCCACUGCACUGUAUGCCUGGGUCUGUGGCUGGGUUUUUUUCCAAGCCUGCCCUUGAGCGUCCACACUGCAUUGUAAACCUGCGUUUACAGGGCUGGGCCUGUCUCACAACCCUGGUGGGUGGCGCAGACCUUCUGGCUUGUGUCUGUGGCUUGACCUGUGUCCACACUGCACAGUGGCGGUGAGACUUGGGUUCUGACCCCCCACCUGGGGCCUGCUGACGUGUGCGGACAGGCACCGCAGUCAGAGCCUGGCUUAGCGUGCGGGGUGGCCACACCCGGGGGUAUACGCCACAAUAAAACAUCCGCGCCUGGCCCGUGUCAGCCCGCUCGGCGGCAGGGUUGUAAAAUUGCCAUGUGGACAUUUGGGUUUGGACUCCAGCCCAGGCCUGCGCGUCUACACUGCCAGUGCAUAAGCACCACAGCCCUACCCCGCAGCCCCAGCCAGCUGACGUGGGCCAGGCGUGGGUGUUUAUUGCAGUGUAGACAGACCCUGAGAGGGUAAGGCAGGAAGGGGCAGCGUCACACGAAUGCUUUGACUUUACUGUCCCCAAACUACUUCUGUACUCGGUUAUAGUGGCCUGCAGGAGUAAUAAAAGCUUAUUGGCUGCCUGGAGCCUUCCCCGCCCCCGCCCCCGCACAGGCACUGCAUAGGACAGCUAAGGGUUAUUCAGGCCCUCUUCACGCCAGCAUGGGGGGGGAGCUGGGGCAGGGAGAGCAGACCCCAUAGGCGGCCCUGGGGGGCACAUGGGUGCUGCAUCCCUAGCGCCGGAGUUGCAGAAGAUUCCCACUCAGAUGGGUUUGAAUGAUUGACGGAGAAGAGAGUUUUCACCUUUGUACGUGUCCCCUCCCAAAGAUGGUUGCUCCAGAAAAACGCCCGCGUUGCCAGCUCUUGUGAGUCAUGUGACCUUUGGUGUUUCCCUUCCGCUGAUCUGCUCCUAGGUGCUUUUGAAAACCCCACGAGGUUCCUCACCUGCCUGGACCUUUAGGUGCCUCAACACCUUUGAAAAGUCAGGCCCAGGAGACUGGCCCAGUGUUUCAUGGGAGCCCGGGGCUUUGCUGUGAUCACAGCCUCUCAGCACCCAUGUGGGGAGAUGGUUUCUGUGAGUAGGCGGCUCUUUAAUCUAGACACAGGCAUGACAAGAUCCAGGGGCUGCAGGUACGUUUCAAAUUGGAAAUGAAUGUAAUUUCUUAGGGCUGGAUUAAGUACAGUGGGGACGGUUACCUGGAUAACUAACCAGAGGAACAGCUUCCCAGGGACUCUCAGGCCGGAGGGGCUUCCUAAGAGUUCUGGGGUGCAGUUCAGGGUGAUGGAGGCACAUUGCUGAGGGCCUCGCCCAGGGACGGGGGAGAGCUCUAUGUCCACACUGCUCCAGUGGCCCAGAUGAUCUCUGCAUAGUCUCUGCAGCCAGCAGUAGCUUUCCUUUAUAGCCCAGGAGCCUGCCUUCUGCUCCUCCCCAGCCCCGCGGGCAGCAGCUUAUGGGCAUGCUGUGCUGCAGAAGUUCUUCCCUGAACCCGCCCCAGCUGCAAUUCUACCACGAGUCGGCCGUGGGGGGCAGAAUAGCCCCUUUUGCUGCAGUCACUGGCUCUCCUACCUGGCCUUAUAUCUAUAGGUCUGGGACCAGGCCAGUUAGCCUGAGCAGCAGAUUGGAGCAGAUGCCUGUGGCGGCCCAGGCCGGGGGAUAAAGCGGCGCAGUCCUUGUGAUCCUGCGGGGCGCAGGGCGUUUCCUUAGGGAAUGUGUCUCCUGAGUAGCAGAGUGAGACGUUUGUUGUCAUAGUUGCCUGGGGCUUUGUGGAAUCCAGUGUGUGUCUACUCUUUGCUGCUGCCUUUCCGGCUGAACCUUGGGCCUCUUUGGCGUAGCACGUAGGCCUGUGGUCUCGGGUCUUCGGCUCGGAGAUUCCCCCCCCACCUCCGCAGUGCGGCACGUCUGGAUACGCACUGUAAAUACGGGUCUCAGUGGCAAGCAGCCCCGGGUGUCGCUCCCAGAGCCGUGGACGCUACCUGGAAGUGGGUAGGCGCUUGACAAUAAACGGCUGGCGUACCGUUUCCUCGUCUCUGUGUUUCCUGAGGGCAGGCUCGGCCUCCGUGGACGUGCCCGCUCCGCUCACGCGGCCUGAAAAGAGAAUGGCCCUCCGCCGCCAACAAGCAUCGUGUCGGCAGGAAAACGAAAGGGGAACCCCUGCGAGCUCUGUCGCCCGGAGGAGCUUGGCACAUGUCGCUGCAUGACAGACCCACACGAACGAGAGAACCCUGCUGGCAUGCGGGGGAGCUGCACUGUGGACCUGCCGCAGAGAACGCACCCCCAAAAGACCUCUCCCGGUUGUAGGCAUCCCGACACGAUUGUUGUCUGGCAGCUGAGAGGCUGUGGAGUUGUCCAAGUCCCACGAAAGACACAGAGCCAGGUUCAGCUUUGUGUCUCAGGUGUAAAUCUGAAGUGACUCUGCUGACGUCAGGGCCGUUACUCUGGAGAGAGAGGGGGCUUGGGAAGUGUUGGGUGGUUUGAUUUAUUUUAGAUCCAAGGGAAACCAGGACACUCCAGGGAAACGUAACCACUUUCUUAUUAAUUGCAAGCUUUAAGCAGUUAAACAUAGUUGUUUAAGUUUUACAAGCCUUAAAAAAACGACGAUUAUUCUAAAGCAAUUAUAACAGCACAGAGCAAUGCAAAAGCAAUUAAUAGAAAAUCUACUCUAAUACAGCAAUAAAGCCUAGUUCACUUACGCUUCACCCGCAUGCUACCUACAGUACCUGGCAGGAGGGCGUGGUUCCUUUUCUUCCCACGCAAUGGAACGCCACGUACUGGAUCGCCGCUGUGAAGGGCCCGUUUACGUCUAGUUACAUUGAGCAGGACGUGUGAGACAGUCCUGCCCGUUCCCGCCAUCGAUUGUUCUUACUAAGCCCAUUUUAUAGCAAAGGGAGACUUGGUGGUUCUAAUACUCUUCACCAAUUGAUGACGUGUUGUGUAGGAUACGUAACAUGCCCAAUGCCCUAUUUGGAGUACAUCCUACUAAGGAUGUUGCUCUGUGCGUAGUUGACAGUUGUCUGGCUGCAUCUGUACAUUGUGCUUAUCAGAAUUACAAGGUUCGUGGUUGCAGUACAAGGUUGCUUGUCGUGUGUUCUUGGUGUGGUUUCGCUGUGCCACGCUUAAUCUGCAUUGCUGUUCAAAGCAGUCCUGCCUUGCAAAGCUUGUCUGCGUGCUAUGUGCACCAGACUUGAGACCGGCCUGGGUUUGGCUCGUUAGGGAUCCGCACUGCGUACGAGGCAGACACAGCCAUUUAUUGUCCAGGCUCCCCUACGGGAAACCCCUGGCAUCCUUGGUAAGCGUUUGGAUGGACCAAACAAGCUGCCCUUCCCCUGGACUGGAUUGCAGGCCUGGCUGUAGGUUUGCGGUAGCCCCUGCUGGGCUUGCAGGCAGAGCCGGGGGGAGCUUCCCAGCCCUUUAUAUCAGGUGAUGCUGCUACGGGAACCCAGGAGGCAUCAGGAGUUGACAGUGCCGUUUAUUUCCUAGACAAAGAACUUCCCAAAUUCUCCUCUGCUAGAAGCUCCAGACCCUCAUUCUCGGAGUGUCCCUGGCAGUGGUGGGCGGAUACAGGGUCUCCUCUCUGCUCCAUCCCCCGCUGUCUGUGACUAGGGAGCGGGGUCAUUCCCAUGGGGCUGCAGCAAUCUUGUCUACACAGCAGUGUUAUUUCGGACUUGCUGACAUUAUUCUGAAAUAACUUAACCUGCGCCUACAUGGCAGGCCGUUAGUUCAACUGCUGUAACCCUCACUAUAUGCGGAGCCAGAGGAGUGGGAGGAGGAGCACUCUGCCUCCGGCUUCCUGCUGUGCAGACAGCUCCAAAAGCAGAGAAUCUUUUUUGACUUCAGCUACGCAACUUCAGCUUUAGCCCUGCUGUGUAGACGUGCCCUCUGUGCGUUGCCUUGGGAACAGUGGCAGCAGAGUCAGCUCCAUCCGGCAUCUGUAGGGGCGUAUUCAGCCCUCUGGCUGGUGCAGAUACAGCCCCUGGCUAGGUCAGUGCAGGCUGGUGGAAGUCCAGAUGGUGGCUUCUUCCUGUCCCACAGUCCUUUCAGCUGGCGUGCGCUGCCGGGAGGGAUUUAAGACUUGGCGUCUUCAGGAAACCGUCUUGCCCCAGGAAAUUCAAGGCCUGUCGCUUCAGGGGCAUCUAGGCAGACGAGCACCGCUCACCACGGCCUCCUUUGGGAGGGACCUGCCUGCACCCCACACGCGCGCUCCUCCCUUCCUUCAGCUCCAUCUGCCUGGCAUCAUGGAGCAGGGAAGAGCCGCCCACUCCUGGAACUGGACAUGUUGCUGCCCCUCCCCUGGGAGCAGAGGAGGAGAGCUCUGCCCAGUCCACAGCCUCGGGCAAGAGACAAUUGAGAGAGGGAGUCCUGACCAGACGGUAGCCAAGCAGUUUGGUUACAUGUGACUGUGUCUGUAACUUGGAGACUGGCCUUACCUUCAUCACUGCCCCUUCCCCAACGGUCACCUCCCAUUUCCUUCUUCCAACGCAACGCAUAAUCCCUGUGCUUCUGCCUCACCCAUCUUCUGCGGGCUUCCUUCCUCCACCAAUUGCUUGUGCUUCUCCCCUGCCUAUUUUUAUAGGUAAGGCAAGCAAUUAAAUAAAUCAGUUCCCUUCUCCACGUCAGUCAUGAGCUCAUUUGACGUCCGCUCGUGCAGUGAAAGCCAAGUGUUGAUGAGAUUCCGUAGGAAUUUUGAUCCGUUUUAUUGCUCAAAAUAGAAUUUUAAAAGAAAAUGGGAAAUUAGAGCCGCAAGAGCCGUAGUGCUUUUAUGACGUGGUAAUACAAUUGCGAAGACUGAAUGUAACACAAAAUGUUAACACUUCUCAAGAAGGAAAGAUCCGGUCAUUGCAAACUGCUCUUAUUCCUAGAAUCUAAUCACCCGGUGGUGAAAUUACCACCAAAUUUAACCCCGGACUAAACUUUAUCCUGUGGCUGAAUGAGUCCCAUACUAGUCAAAUUACACUUAGGCUACAGAUUCUAAAUACAGAUCCUUCUCUUGGCAAGGUGGCUAGGUACUAUUCAACUAGCAACUGCCUAGGUUACACAUCCCUCGAGAUAUAUUCCAGUCAGCCAAUUGUGGGACCGUGUAGCACACACAACAGUAAAAGUAAAAUUACUGGCAGAAGGUUUAGUCAAUUAAUUAGAGAAAGGUAUCAAGUUAAUUUAAAAUGGCCUUCUCCAGCCAUGAAAAUAAACCAGAGACCAAAAUUUCAGCUGCUAUAUAUUUUAGAGAGUUUGUCUGUCUGUGUGGCUGUUCAAGAACUCUAAA